GGCCCGGGUGGCCCUCGGUUAGCGUCGCGCCUGCUCGGGGGAGCACCUACGUCCCACCGCUUCCCGGAGCCGGAAGGGGGCAUCCAGAAAAAAACCCAGUCCUCCUCAUUAUGCAGCCCGACCCCCUUCCCCAGCUCCAAGCCAGAGCCUGACCCAGCGGCUGCACAUGCGCACAGGUCACCUCGCAGUCCCCGCCCAACUCAAGCGUUUCCUCUUAGCAUCCAGGACUUUUUUUUCCCCCCACGGCCUUUAUCUAGACUUUAGGGUGAGGCGUAGGGGAAUACAGACGGGAGUCUUACCAAGCCACUUGCAAAUUCAUCAAGAGAAGGAUCAGGAGUUCAAGGUCAUCUUCAGUUGCAAGUGUGACCCCAGCCUAAGAUGCAUGGAACCCUGUGUCAAAACAAAACAAAACCAGAAAUUCACCUCAAGCUACCCUCCUUCGUCUUUAUAAUCAAAUGAAUAUAAAAUGAUUCUUUAAGAACAUCAUGGUAAUACACACCUGAAAUCUCAGCACUUGGAAUGUGGACAAAGAGAAUCAGGAACCCAAGGCUUUCUGUCUGAUUCAAGUGUGAUUUAAGAGAUUUCACAUGAUUCCACUUUGGGGAAAGGAUGCAGGCACACUUGUGAAAAGAAGCAUGGGAAAGGAAACGGAGAAUGAGGAUGCCACCACACAGGCACUCUUGAGGUCAUGUUUUGUCAUUCGUCAACUCCUCAACUGAUCUUGUUUCCUCGGACUGCAGAUUUUAGGAUUCUGAGUCCUCUCCCAAAUGGAUCUCAGGUGAGCAGGUUAUUUAGUAGGGUAGUCUCACCAACACUUCCAAGUUGUUGGGUUUCACGGGAUCGGCAGCUGGGCCUUGGGUUGGCCUCAGACAGAGUGUUCUGACUGCCCACAUUUAAAAAUGGUCAAAAUCCAGAGCAUGGACAACAUCAAAUACCAGCAAAGAUGUGGGGUAGUAUGGACUUUAUUUUACUGCUGAUAGGAAUGUGGAAUAGUGCAGGGCUUUGAAGACUGGAAGUUUUGUUACCUGUGGUUGGGAUCUGGGCCAAGUGAUUCAGGUCCUUGGCGUCUUAUUCAAAGAAUUGGGAAUAAGGGCUCAAAAAGAUUUGCAAAAGAAGCAAGACAAUUUUGUUUUGAGCAAAGCAGUAAUACACACUAAAGAAAGAUAUCCACUGUCAACAUUGAUAUGGUGGGGGCUGGUUCUGAGAAGGUUCAGUAUUAAGAACACUUGCUGCUCU